UUCGCCGGACAAUCAUCUUUCUGCCCCCUUAAUUGGUAGAGCUGGAUAGGAGUAGAGACUUCUGGUAAAUGUAGUCUAGCUGAAUCCGGGAACUGUGCUAAAUCCUGGUGAUAUGACAAAAGCAAAAGAUAAUCUGCGCUUUCAAGAAGCUCACAAUAGAAGAGAAGAGAAAAAAUAGAUACUUCUUGCACAGCCUGCUUUUGGGCACUCGGGUAUCAAAAGAGUAAGCUGGAGGUAGGAAUGUGCCUGAUAAAUGUAUAACAACUAGCUCAAACAAACAAACUACACAAACUUAAGUUUAAUCACAUUUUCUCUAUUAUUUUACUUAAACUAUACAAUUCAUAAAAUAAAUCAAGCCCUAAUGUGUAGCAUUUUAAAAUUUACUAGAUGUAAAUGCUUUAAAAAAUUUAAGGAAUAUUUUUGAAAUCAGGUUUGAGAUGGUUCUAGAGUAAAUAGCAUUUUUAAUGAAAGAAGUUAAGAUUUGGAGAAGGGGACCUGGGUUCUAAUUCUGCCAUCAGAGCUGUCAUAUAACUUCUAAACUUGUUUCUUUCUUUGUAAAAUGGAAAUUAUCUAAAAAUAUUUACCUCAUAUUGGUUAUUAUUGGCAUCAAAUGAGAUCACAGAAUUAUACAUCUAGUUCUAAUGUUUGAAGAUAUCAUAGAGGCCAUUUAGUUCACCCACUUGUCUCCCACCUCCCCAUUUUAAAAAGAAACUGAGUCCCAUAAAGAUUAAGUGAAUUUCAUAAGGUCACACAGGGUGUGAACAUCAGUGGCAUGGAAAACCUUAGAGGUUGUCAUUGUAGAAAAAAGCCUAAAAAGACUUACAUGAACUCAUGCUUAGUGAAGUGAAAAGAACAUCGUACACAACAACAAGAUUAUGUGAUGAUCAACUGUAAUCGACUUGGCUUUUCUCAACAAUGAGGUGAUUCAAGGCAAUUCCAAUAGACUUGUGAUGGAAAGUGCCAUCUGCAUUCAGAGGAAGAACUACAGAAAUUGAAUGUGGGUAAUAAAAGCAUAGUAUUUUCAA